UACGUAGGGGGCUAGCGUUGUCCGGAAUCACUGGGCGUAAAGCGCGCGUAGGCGGAUUGUUAAGUCAGGGGUGAAAUCCUGGAGCUCAACUCCAGAACUGCCUUUGAUACUGGCGAUCUCGAGUCCGGGAGAGGUGAGUGGAACUGCGAGUGUAGAGGUGAAAUUCGUAGAUAUUCGCAAGAACACCAGUGGCGAAGGCGGCUCACUGGCCCGGUACUGACGCUGAGGUGCGAAAGCGUGGGGAGCAAACAGG
rnacentral:rRNA from 1 species